AUGGAUUUCUUGCCAAAGACAAGCACGAUGGCAUCGUCGCCGGAGGGGGCAGCGGUGGUGGACGCGUACAAGAAGGCGCUCGCCACGGCGGCCACGGUGAGCGCGUACGCCAUGCUGGCGCGCGGCAUGGCGCGGGAGCUCCUCCCCGACGAGCUGCGCGCCGCGGUGCGCUGGGCCGCUGCGUUCGUGCGCUCCCGUUACAGCGCUCCCGAGAAGCAGCGUCAUACCAUUGUCAUCCGGCGCGUGCUCGGCGGCCUCGGCCUCGGCGGCGGGUACAACGAGAACGACCUGUUCGACGCGGCGCUCACAGGUUACUUCCAGGGGCGUGAGCGCCACAAGAUGACACUGUCGGGCCUGCUCAACGUCAUCGACGGCUUGUGGUCAACCACCGGCGAGGAGCGCGUCAUCGUCUUCACCACCAACUACAAGGACCGCCUCGACCGGGCGCUGCUACGGCCGGGCCGCAUGGACAUGCACGUCUACAUGGGACACUGUGGCUGGGAGGCCUUCAGGACGCUCGCCCGGAACUACCACCUCCUCGACGACCACGCUCUCUUCCCGGAGAUUCAAGAACUUCUUGCGGCCGUGGAGGUUACACCCGCGGAGGUGUCCGAGAUGCUGCUGCGGAGCGAGGACGUCGACGUUGCGCUGCGUGUGCUUAUGGAAUUCAUCAAAGCAAGGAGAAGCAAAACAAACGACAAGCACAACGACGGCAUAACUAACUAG
rnacentral:rRNA from 1 species